GUACUCACCUUCCAGGCUUGCUCAGCCUGCACAUUGACGCUGCCCAGGCGCCAGGCAGAUCUACCAUGGGCACUGAUGCUGAGCUCUUGACGCCUUGUGCUCUCUUCCACGUGGACCCUCAAGGCACAGUGUCCCUGCAAAGAAGUGAAGUUUAGACGGGACCAGCCCCAACUCCUGCUGCCUCGGGAAAUCGAACAGAGGCUCUGACAGCUGAGGCGCUCACCAAUCUGGGGCCCAUACAGGCGGUACCAGAAGCUGAGACAUUCCUUGGGGACAACUGGCACCUGAGGUCUUGUGAGCAACAGGGCACCUUGGCCUCGAGCAGGUGGGUCCGUGGGAUCCAAGAACAUGAAAAAGCCUUCAGGGAAGGAAAACUGAGCUACAGAAAGACUCAGGUUGACCCCUCCCAGGCCGGAGAGACUCCCCUACCUUGGCCAGUUGUGUGGUCAAGCUGAGAGCCGUGGCUUUUUAUACGGUGCCAGUGGGCAUCUGUGAGGUGGCCUGUAUGCCAGCUGCAGGAGUCCCGUUCAAAGUUACAGGAGAGCUCUGGGGGGGGGGGGGGUAGGGGGUUGAGGGGGGUGAGGUCAGCACUGCUGUCUGCCCCCUUCCCAGCUGUCCUAAGACAGGAUUAGAGGUGGGCUAGGUAGUAAGUAGCUCCUGGGUAGGGAUGGGAGAUGGGCCAGAGAAACCUUGGUCACUUUCAGUGGUCACCAUGGGGUUGCAGUCUCUCAGAGUCACAUUGUCCACCCCAGCCCCCUGCUGGCCAGGGCCAUCCAAGUCCACCAGACUGACAAACUCCAGCUUUAGGCAGAUAGGGGAGAACGACUGUCAG
rnacentral:lncRNA from 1 species